UACGUAGGGGGCAAGCGUUGUCCGGAUUUAUUGGGCGUAAAGAGCGUGUAGGCGGCCAGGUAGGUCCGUUGUGAAAACUCGAGGCUCAACCUCGAGACGCCGAUGGAAACCAUUUGGCUAGAGUCCGGAAGAGGAGAGUGGAAUUCCUGGUGUAGCGGUGAAAUGCGCAGAUAUCAGGAAGAACACCCGUGGCGAAGGCGGCUCUCUGGGACGGUACUGACGCUGAGACGCGAAAGCGUGGGGAGCGAACAGG
rnacentral:rRNA from 1 species